CAGGUUUGAAUCCUAAAGUGAAAGGGUACGUAUAGACAAGGAGAAUCCAGUUAAGUAUAAGUAAUUCUCUGAUUUGGGUUAGGAAUAACUAUGGAAAGUCGUGACUCCAGUGGAAAUUUCUGCGAACUAAAGAAAUCAAGCCUUCCACAAUCUGAGUGGGGUAAAUGUCGGCACGAUCUAAAGGAGAUACUUGAUUUCUAAAAGACUCUCUAUCGUUAUAAAAAUAUAGUUUCGCAUGAACUAUCUCUUCAACUGUAGGUUCACGAAGAGGUUCAGAAGAAUCUUUACCCCUAGAAGAAGAUCUUUGGGAGAGAGAACCUCUAAUUCUACAAGAGGGGCUAGAACUAGGUGAAGGAAUAGAUGAACCCCGUGUGGACGAAGAUUCUAAAUUACAGAGUUUACCUCAUCUUCUGCUCCUACUGGGGGCGUUG
rnacentral:lncRNA from 1 species